ACGGAGGGUGCAAGCGUUGUUCGGAAUUAUUGGGCGUAAAGCGCGCGCAGGUGGGCCACUAAGUCUGAUGUGAAAUCCCUCGGCUCAACCGAGGACGUGCAUUGGAUACUGGUGGUCUUGAGUCCUGGAGAGGGAAGCGGAAUUCCCAGUGUAGAGGUGAAAUUCGUAGAUAUUGGGAGGAACACCGGUGGCGAAGGCGGCUUCCUGGACAGUGACUGACGCUGAGGCGCGAAAGCGUGGGUAGCAAACAGG
rnacentral:rRNA from 1 species